rnacentral:rRNA from 1 species
AUGGCUCACCAAGGCGAAGACGGGUAGCUGGUCUGAGAGGAUGAUCAGCCACACUGGAACUGAGACACGGUCCAGACUCCUACGGGAGGCAGCAGUGGGGAAUAUUGCGCAAUGGGCGAAAGCCUGACGCAGCCACGCCGCGUGAGCGAUGAAGGUCUUCGGAUCGUAAAGCUCUGUGGGGGGAGAAGAAGAAAGUCGGUGAAGAGCCGGCCCUGACGGUAUCCCCUUAGCAAGCACCGGCUAACUCCGUGCCAGCAGCCGCGGUAAUACGGAGGGUGCAAACGUUGCUCGGAAUCAUUGGGCGUAAAGCGCGCGUAGGCGGCUGAACAAGUUGGAUGUGAAAGCCCUGGGCUCAACCUAGGAUGUGCAUUCAAAACUGUUCGGCUUGAGUCUCGGAGGGGGUCAGAGAAUUCUCGGUGUAGAGGUGAAAUUCGUAGAUAUCGGGAGG